GUGAGAGGCAGAUCAUCGCUUUGCUCCGUCUCCCACAUCGCCCCUUUCCUCGCCACACGGAGUCGAAGGGGAAAGAAGAGGUUGAGUCGGGCUUCUCCUUCGUCGGGUUUUCUCCUCGGUUUCUACUCCGUCCACCCCGCUUCCUUGCCUCCUCCCCUUCUGCCGGCCCAUUUUCCAAUUUUCGGGUUUCCUCCCUUCCGCUCGACUCGUUGAGCUUCAGCGACGCGAGGUGUGAUGGGCACCGGGGGCAAGGUUGGCCAGAAUUUUUUGCAUGUUCGGGGAUGGCUUCAUGUAUAUUCAUUCAGUUGUUGUCGUACUCCAAUUUAGUAUUCAUGGUUUCCUUGGUCUACAGAAAUAUAUGUACAUCAAGGAGCACAGAGCUGCCAUUUGCAUCCAGCAAAACAUUUGUUGCAGCACAGAUUUGGUUGGGCCAUUUUAUUUCUCAUCCACAAACAAUAUGCUGCAGAUGAAAUACAUUGAUACAUUACUGCACUCAUGAACAUUUGAGACUAUGCACAUUCUCAUUACUGCACACAAGUUAGCUGCUGUGUAUUUCUACAAAAGACAUACAUGCUGAAGGUCAAGUUUCCAAAGACCCUUCAUUUGGUAUUUUUGAGCAAAUAGUUAAUGGUCUGUAAGUGUCAUGUAAAAUUGGACAACUUCCAAUAUAUUCGUUUACCUUUUUAUUUCAAUAUAUUUCUGUCUAAAUUUAGUUAUCAUCCAAUUUAGGUUGCUAGCUAUUCUUUUUAAUUGCUUCAUUUUUGCUAGGUAAUCGAGCAUAUUCUGUUUUCUCCCAAGAAGACUUAUUGCACGCACUUCAUGAUGACAACACUUCCUAUCCAUGGCUAUACUACACCUGGGAACUUUUGAUAUGAUAAUUCUCACCUAUUUUCUACUAUUUGUUAGUUGUUACCAUAUUUUCUCCCAAUAGAUUUUUCUUUACAACUUGUUCACUAAUUUUUCAUUUUCAUUAUAAUUAUCACUUGGAGUUUAUCUUUAAUUUCAUAUUGUUUUCAAUAAUUUUUAUUUUUUAUUAUGCAAUUGAUCAUUUGUUGUAGGUGGAGACAUCCAAUAUGCAAAGUCAUACAUGACCAGAUUAGAUGAUAGAAUAAUUCAAAGCUUUUUGAAAAUAGGUUUAGAUUCUUGUUUCCACUUGCUUACAUGUAGAUGAUUGGCGAAUGUUCUUCUGUUUUUCUUGAAAUUUGAUAAGUCUUGCAGUGGAUAGAUGCAUGAAGCUAACUCUGUAAUGGCUAUCUAUCCUGAUCACUAAUGCUCUUUUGUAAUUUGGGAGCUUGCUUUUUUUGGAAGUUAAGAUUUCUAUACUUGUUGCAUAUAAACAAUUUGCUAGAUAUAUGUGAUAUUGUAAUUUUUUUUGUAUCUGCACUAGACUUUAGCACUUAUCUGAUAAGCAAUUUUAACGUGUUUAUGGGGAUAGGUCCAACAAGUCAUUGAUAAGACUUGAGGUUUUGCUUGUGGAACAUUUUCAAAGUUUUUUUUUACAUUAUUUGUUAUGUUUUAUGAAAAGGGUUGUUCAUGUUUAUUUUUUAUUUUUUAUAUUUUGUGGAAACUAAUUAGGGGAAUGAUUCAGUGGUUUAAUUUUUCUAGGGUCUCAAAAUUCUUGUAUGUUGCCUUUUGUAUUUUUUUUGAUGAUUUUAUUCUCUCUAAUCUCUUUACUUAGUAGUGCCUUUUGAUUUGUGUUGUAGUUGCUAGUUUGUCUAAUUUAUCAACCCAGGUGGAGUGUUCGGAAGGUUGCUUAUGAAGCUACCUGCAAAAUUGGCUCUUCUUUGGGAAUUUUGUUGGUAAAUCUUCUUGUUGAAUAUAGGUGUUGGUUGUCUUUAGUUAUUAAGAAAAUUUCACAAUUGAAGUUUAUGUAAGUGUUUGUGUUCCUUACUAAAUCUAUGUGCUCUUUGUAACUUAUGGUCAAUUGUGAUCUACUAGGUUGUUGCCUUAGUUCCUCCAAAACCUAAAUGGCUUACUUUGUAUGGUUGGGGCAUAUGGACACCUAGAUCUGCUUAACCCCAUGUUGCCGCUUUACAUUGUGAUGUGUUUAAUACUUGUAUUCAUGCUAUUUGAUGCUUAUACUCUAGUCGGAGUCAUACAAGGUUUAGGCUUCUUUGAUUGAGAAUUUGCUCUUUUUAUUUCUCUUCUAGGCAUAUGGACACCUUUUGGUUUGUUUUCAUUGCCUAGUUGUUUCUAGUGUUUGUUUUUUUUCACUUUUGGUGCUAUAUCAAGUUUAUUCCAAACUUCUUAUGCCAAUUACUAGUUUCUUAUUUGAUUAGUUUUCUCAAUUAACUUCCUAAGAUGAUGCAUGCGUGGUUAAUGACACACAAUUGGUAUGAGGCACAAAUCUACUAUCUGUUUAAAUUUUAGUGAAAUGUUUUCUUCUUAUUGCAACUGCAGCUAUUUCAGUGGUUCAUAUUUCCAGCUGUGCUCACAUCACCCUUGCAUUGCCAACAAUGGUAUAAGUAACCAUGUAUGGAAGGUAGGUCCCGCCUGUAAUUUACCUCCUUCGUGUUAGUCCUGGGAUGGAUUGGCGGGGGCGCUGGGGGCGAGUGUAUUCGCCUUUUGUCAUCAUGUAUGGAAGGUAGGUCAAGUUCCCAAAGGCCCUUCGUAGGGGUAUUUUUGAACAAAUCGGACCACUUCCACCAGAUUGGCUUACCUUUAAAUUUCCGGUUUAUUUCUAUCUAAAUUUAAUUAUCAUCCAACUUUACUUGUUGCUAACUUAUUCUUUUUAAUUACUUCAUUUAUGCUAGGUAAUCGAGCAGAUUCUGUUUUCUUCCCAGAAGACUGCAUGCACAAUGACUGCACUUUCUACUUCUGAGCCUCCACGGUUACUACACCUAGGAACUUUUGAUAUGAUUCUUUUGACCUAUUUUCUAGUAUUAGUUCGUUGUUACCAUAUUUUCUCCCAACAGAUUUUUCUUUACAACUUAUUCACCCGUUUUCAUUUUCUUUAUUGCUAGAUUGUAAAUUUAGUUUAUAUUAGUUUUGCUCAUGAGCAGUUGCUAAAUAAGUGUCAAUUUUUUGGAUUCAUAUGUAUCUCUAUUGUACUCUUAAAAUGAUCGGUCAUAUCGAAAGAAGGUUCAUUGAGGUGCCUCAUGGAGCUACAUGGGUUCUUCUGGCAACAAUCAAUGAGAGCUUCAAGAUUUGAUACAAUUCAGGUGGUUUUGCAAUGGAGUUGAAUGUUGCCCAGUUUUGGUCCAGUGGAAUUGGUAGCCAUGAAGUAACCUCUUGUAGAUUUUGAGGUAAACAAUGAAGAAACUAGCUAUUUCUUGCCAAGCAUAUCAUUAAAAUGGAGUGAUAGAAAGUUCUGAGGCGUCAGAUUCACACUUGCACGCAUCAAAUGUGUUUGCUAUCCUUUCUUCAUUCAUGCUAUCCGAGAUGCUCUCUCUACGAGAUAAAGAGCGAAGAAAAAGAAAGAUAUCUCUUUUUUCCAACGAAGGAUACCAACAGAGUUGUGGUAUUUUGUUUAGGUCUUGUAUGGUAACAUACAAUUGUAAUUCUGUUGUAGGGAGGACCAGAUCAUAUUCCUAGACUUUGCAUUCCUAAUGCACUCACCCUUUGUUGCCUAUAUUUUUGCAGGUGACUUCUUCAGAUUUUCCACAUCCCCCAAUAUGUUGAAAAAUGAAUUAUGUAAUUGAAUUCUUGUUUUACUAAUUAUAAAGUGGGCUAAUUAAUGGAUUAGUUGAAAUGCGAGCGAACAAGAUGCUUUGGAGUUUGGCGAAUUAAUUGCUCUCACAUAUGAAAAAAAUAUUUCAAAAAAUAGUUCCCAAUUCGUUAAACCGCAACUAGAACAAUCAAAAGAUUACUUUGGUUAUAAGGAAGGAAGGAAGGAAAUGUAUGUUCACAGCUCGUGCAGUCACUUAUCUUAGCUUCUCAAGAUGACUUAAGUGAGGUCAGAAGAAGAGCCCUCUUUUGCAUAAAGGUUUAUGCAAAUGUAUGUAGUUUAAAUGGUUGACUGACUUUCCCCUAAAUCUAUAAAGAAGCCACAUUGAAAUUUGUAUUUUUUUCUAAUUGUUUCCAUGAUUGCAUUAGGUAAAUCUUGCAUUAGUUAUUGCAAGUCUUUAGAUUUUAGCUCCAGCUAUUACACAAAAGUAAAUGGGAGUGGCCUAUGUAUUCCGCAGAGCGUUGUGCUUUGAUGUUUUUCAGUUAACAAAGGUCGGUAUUGUUGAUUUUGUUUA